GAUGAACGCUGGCGGCGUGCCUAAUACAUGCAAGUCGAGCGAACAGACGAGGAGCUUGCUCCUCUGACGUCAGCGGCGGACGGGUGAGUAACACGUGGAUAACCUACCUAUAAGACUGGGAUAACUUCGGGAAACCGGAGCUAAUACCGGAUAAUAUAUUGAACCGCAUGGUUCAAUAGUGAAAGACGGUUUUGCUGUCACUUAUAGAUGGAUCCGCGCCGCAUUAGCUAGUUGGUAAGGUAACGGCUUACCAAGGCAACGAUGCGUAGCCGACCUGAGAGGGUGAUCGGCCACACUGGAAAUAAGACACGGUCCAGACUCCUACGGGAGGCAGCAGUAGGGAAUCUUCCGCAAUGGGCGAAAGCCUGACGGAGCAACGCCGCGUGAGUGAUGAAGGUCUUCGGAUCUUAAAACUCUGUUAUUAGGGAAGAACAAAUGUGUAAGUAACUAUGCACGUCUUGACGGUACCUAAUCAGAAAGCCACGGCUAACUACGUG
rnacentral:rRNA from 1 species